AACUGAUACUACCUGCGGGACCUGCGGAAGGAUCAUUAGUGAACGCCCUCACGGGCUUAUAACUAUUCCAAACCUCUGUGAACCGUGCCCUUCGGGGCUAUUUUACAAACAUGGUGUAAUGAACGUCAUAUAUCAUAACAAAACAAAACUUUCAACAAUGGAUCUCU
rnacentral:misc_RNA from 1 species